AACUUACUUAUGGUUUUUAAAUUUCAGUGGAGCUGUGACAGGUGAGGAAGGCUUAGUCAUAAUUGUUGCUAAGGGAUAUGCAUGUAAACAUUCUCUGUUGUAAGCUUCUAUUUCAAUUUAUGACUUGAUUUUAUGUGUGAACUUGUGAUAAGCUUUUAAAUAUGUGAUCAUGUACUCUGAAAGGUGUUUUUAGUGUUGAGGACAAAGAGAAGAGAGAGAAUGGAGCUGAGGAGAAGUUUUUAGACACAACUCUUUUUAGACAGAACUUAACUCAAGAGGAACUGAAAAGUAUAGGCAUAGCAUUUGGGGAAAAGGCCUUGAGAAUAAGAGCAUUAUUGUGACAUCAGAGCAAGAGGAGAGAGCAAGACUAGAAAAAGAAUGUAGAGUGGAAUAACAGAAACCAUAGGUUAAAUAAAAAACUAAGAGAACAAUGUUCAGAAUGCAGAGGGAAAUAGGAAAAAAGAAGAAGCUGCAGAGAGGAGAAGGAGUAGCUAGGCUUCACCUUACCAUGGGACAGAACACAGGUCUUUUCCUAAUAACAAGGCAGACUUAGUCUUAUUAAAGGAAUGAAGCUUUCUUCUUACAACCUUGAAUUUAGUUCAUUUAGCAUUAAAAGGGUAGAAGUUUUUUCUUUCUCCAUGCAAUAAAGAUUUAGCUCAUAUUUUUAUCCAGAAUGAGUGAGUUCUUUCUGCACUGGGGCUUGGUCUUUUGCUCCAUAUGCAUAUGUAAGAAUGGAUAUGUGUGUAUAAGUGUGUAAUUGUGAGAAUGGAUGCAAGUUGAGCACAACUUGUGCGAAUGGAAAUGAAUAAAUGCUCAUAUGUAAAUCUGUGUAUAUGAGUUUAUGCAUAUUUGCCUAUGUAAAAGUUUUUCCUUCUGCAAUUGCUAUUCUCUUCUCUUGAUUCAAUAGAAGUUUAUUGCUCCAAACUUCCCCUUAGCCUGAAAAGCAAGAAGGAUCUGGACAAAAGGGAAAAGGUGCUAGCAAAUUAUCCUUUACUGUAUCUCCUGCUGUUUUAGAAUGAAGUGCUAAGUGCCAGAGACUGCGGUUUCUGGCCUCACAGGACUACAGAAAACAGGACAGCUACAGUACCAUUAUAACAGACUUAAGUAAAUUUUUAUUUUUAUACAGGGAACCUAAAUAUUUCCUAAAACAAAGUCUUACACUCCUUUGACACUCUUACCCCUUCACUGCCUCAAAAAGAACCGACAAGAGGGAAGACCCCACUAGGCCAGGCCUAUAGCAGGAAUCAUGGGGGACAGGCCUGGAUGAAACCUCAUUUCUGGCUUUGCAUUUUCUACUCUGGAUUUUUCAUUAUGGAAAUAAUGAUACUCAUAAAUUCUUGUAUAGUUUAACUAAAUAUAAUCAGGAUUUUAUGUUCCCCUGAACUGAGAUUUAAGUGUCUUUUGUAAUAAUAGUGAUAUUCUAUUUUAAUGUCUGGAAGUUCUUUCUUUUCAAAAACAUAGUCUGAGUGGCUGAGAGGGAGGAGAGAGUACAGGUGACAUUCAAGAUCAGGCUGCAUGUCUUUCAAUCUGAGACAUCCUGGCACAAGCAGAUAUGUCCAUGCUAUGAGGAGUUUGAACCUCUAUUGAGGAGCCUUGUCACUGUCUCCUUCAUGUCCUUGUUCCUCAGGCUGUAAAUGAAGGGGUUCAGCAUGGGGGUAACCACAGUAAACAUAAUGGUGGCUACUGUAUCCUGGGUGAAGGAGUCUGGAGGUCGUAUGUAGAUCCCCAGAACUGUCCCAUAGAACAAAAUGACCACGGUUAAGUGGGAGCUACACGUGGAAAAUGCCUUGUGCCUGCCCUUGGCAGAAGGUAUCUGAAAGACUGCCACAGCGAUUUGGACGUAAGAGAACACAAUGAGAAUGCAGGGGCCACAAAGAAGACCACAGCUCCCAGGAAGAGAAGUUGAUUGACUUGUUUGUCUGAACAGGUAAACUUCAUGAGCAGAUAAGCAUCACAGUAGAAGUGAGAGACCUCUGGAAUCGAGGAGCAGAAGGUCAGUCUGCUCGUGAGGAGUGUGUGCACCAGAGCUAUGAGCCCACAGCUUAUCCACACAACAGCUGCCAGCCCCACACAUAGCUGGGGUGUUAUGAUUGUGUGAUACUGUAGUGGGUAGCAGGUGGCCACGAAUCUGUCUAGUGCCAUGGCAGCAAGCAGAAAGGUGUCCACAUUUCCAAAGGAAAUUAGAAAGUACAUCUGAGUGAGGCAGUGGGCAUAAGAGAUGGUCUCUAUUCCAGACACGUGGCUAGCCAAGAGCCUGGGGAUGAUAUUGGUGGUGAAGCAGAUGUCAUCAAAGGAAAUGUUGGUGAGGAAGAAGUACAUGGGGGUGUGUAAGCGCGGGUCAGAGCUGAUGGCCAUGAAGAUGAGUGUGUUACCAGCCACCGUGACCAAGUACAUGCACAGGAAAGCCCAGAAGAGGAUUCGUUGCUGUUGUGGGUCAUUGGUGAUGCCAAGCAGGAGAAACCCGCUGACUCCAGUCUCAUUCUCUCCCGCCAUGGACAUAUUCCAGCGUUUCAGGCUCCUGGAGGGAACGGGGUCCAGUGUUGCCCAGUGUGGCCCUGAAAUUUCUACAUAGCAAAAGAUGCACCCUGAAUUACUGAACUUUGCCUCCACCUCCUGGUACUGAUGUAGCAGCCAUCACUGAAUUUGAAUUCUUAAAGAGUACCUUUUAGUUUCAUUCAGGUUCAAAGUGAAAUGGAAGAAAUGAGAAGUUGUUGUUCAGUUGCCCACUCAGGCAUUGAGAAGACUGCACAUGCAGUGGGCUGUUUUGUCCUUGUCAGACCACCAGAUAAUCAGGACCAGAUCCUCUCCUUCUAUAAUACUGAUAUGUACCAGAAUGCUCUAAAGAUCCAAGGAGAGGAGGAUGGGCAGGCUGCAGCUCUGUGGAGUUCUUGCCCAGCGUUUAUGGGGUCCUCCUUUGAUGCUUAGCGGGAUGACUGAGGCUGUAGCUCGGUGGAGCACUAGCCUAGCAUCCAUGAGGUUCUGGCUUGACCUGUGCACAGCACAAGGCUGGAGUGGUGGUGAACACUUGUGAUUCCAGCACUCUGGAGGUGAAGGCAAGAGGGUCAGAAAUCCAAGGUCCUCUUCAAUCACAUAAUUUGAGACAAGCCUGGAGGUAUAUGACAACCUGUCUCAAAAAGUGCAUUCAUAUAUGCACAUACAAACAGGUAGAAAGGCAUACAGGAAAGAAGGAAGGAAGUUAGAGGAGCAAGAGAGAAGGAAGAAGGAAGAAUAAGAAAGACAAUGAAGAGACAAUUGAGAUGUAUCAAACAUUUUUAAGAGUCUCAAAGUGUGGGCUGGAGAGAUGGCUCAGUGGUUAAGAGCACCAACUGCUCUUCCCAAGGUCCUGAGUUCAAAUCUCAGCAACCACAUGGUGGCUCACAACCAUCUGUAAUGAGAUCUGAUGCCCUCUUCUGCUGUGUCUGAAGACAGCUACAGUG
ensembl:lncRNA